rnacentral:rRNA from 1 species
CUGCAAGUGAAGCGUGAAAAGCUCAAAUUUAAAAUCUGGUAGUCUCUUUGGCUAUCCGAGUUGUAAUUUAGAGAAGUGUUAUCCGCGCUGGACCGUGUACAAGUCUCCUGGAAUGGAGCGUCAUAGAGGGUGAGAAUCCCGUCUCUGACACGGACUACCAGGGCUUCUGUGAUAUGCUCUCAAAGAGUCGAGUUGUUUGGGAAUGCAGCUCUAAAUGGGUGGUAAAUUCCAUCUAAAGCUAAAUAUUGGCGAGAGACCGAUAGCGAACAAGUACCGUGAGGGAAAGAUGAAAAGAACUUUGGAAAGAGAGUUAAACAGUACGUGAAAUUGUUGAAAGGGAAACGCUUGAAGUCAGUCGCGUUGGCUAGAAAUCAACCCGGCUUUUGCUAGGUGUACUUUCUGGCUUUAACGGGUCAGCAUCAAUCUUGAUUUGUGGAAAAGGGCCUAGGGAAUGUGGCAUCUUUGGAUGUGUUAUAGCCCUUGGUCGUAUACACUGGUUGGGAUUGAGGAACUCAGCACGCCCUCUGGGGUUGUGUUAAGGAUGCUGGCAUAAUGGCUUUAAUCGACCCGUCUUGAAACACGGACCAAGGAGUCUAACAUGCCUGCGAGUGUUUGGGUGGAAAACCCAAGCGCGCAAUGAAAGUGAAAGUUGAGAUCCCUGUCGUGGGGAGCAUCGACGCCCGGACCAGACCUUUUGUGACGGAUCCGCGGUAGAGCAUGUAUGUUGGGACCCGAAAGAUGGUGAACUAUGCCUGAAUAGGGUGAAGCCAGAGGAAACUCUGGUGGAGGCUCGUAGCGAUUCUGACGUGCAAAUCGAUCGUCAAAUUUGGGUAUAGGGGCGAAAGACUAAUCGAACCAUCUAGUAGCUGGUUCCUGCCGAAGUUUCCCUCAGGAUAGCAGAAACUCAUAUCAGAUUUAUGUGGUAAAGCGAAUGAUUAGAGGCCUGGGGGUUGCAACAACCUUAACCUAUUCUCAAACUUUAAAUAUGUAAGAACGAGCCGUCGCUUGACUGGACCGCUCGGUGAUUGAGAGUUUCUWGUGGAGCAKUUUGGUUWGCAGAARGCCAUGCGGGAUGAACCGAACGCGAGGUUAAGGUGCCGGAAUUCACGCUCAUCAAGCACCACAAGUGUUAGUUCAUCUAGACAGCAGGACGGUGGCCAUGGAAGUCGGAAUCCGCUAAGGAGUGUGUAACAACUCACCUGCCGAAUGAACUAGCCCUGAAAAUGGAUGGCGCUUAAGCGUGAUAGCCAUA